ACUGGUAAAGAAAUUACGGGAGAAAAAUAUUAAGAAUCUACAGGCGGAUGCCUAAAAAUGUCUCAACAUUUCUGACAUGUUUGGGGCUGUAGUAGCUGCUUCAACAUCAGCAUUACCGGAAGUAGAGGAAGGAGGAGAGGUGGCUGGUUGUUGCAGAGAA